rnacentral:lncRNA from 1 species
UGACAAAGCAAUUAAAGUUAAAGCAAAAAGGCUUAAACUCUGGACUGCUUAAGUUAUUAGUGUUUUUGCAUGAGUGAGAUCUUUUUAGAAGUCUAAUUUGAAUGUCAAAUUUGCAUACGAAGCUGGAAAACAUCGGGAAUGCCUAAUUGCCAUCCACGUCUAGAGUUCAGAUUUUGCUUUGAAACCAGCGUGCACAUAUUCCUAGGAUUCAUUUCUGGUUACUGUUUGAGUGCUUCCAUAAAGUGAGCUGAGCAUCUAAAUAAGUCCUGUGCUUGCUCACUAUAGAAACAAGUAUUCUGUAUUUAGAAUUUUAUUUCGUACAUGCGUUUUGACCCAUACAUUUUUGCUUUAGCAAAGAUAUGAUUCACUUGAAUAAAAUUAUACCCACUGACUUUUUCUUUUCUUGCAGAGGAGUUUGUUUUUAGGAUUCCCCAGCAUUUCACUUACAGGGACUUAACAGGCCUCCAAGACCAGUUUUGGAGCUGGAGAAAUCAGAGGUGAUACCCCAGCAUCUGUGGAAUUUUUGAAACGGAGAAUCGUGACACCUGCCACCAGGAUUGCUCUGUCCAGCACUCCUGCAGAAUCUUUUUCCUGCUGAAUUUGAAAUUACUGUUAAAUAAGUACUUAUCUGCGAUCCUAAGAAAGAGUCCUGCCUUACUGUACGCUUGCAAGGCAGCCCCAAGGGGCUCCCACCCUGCCUGGUUGUGUCAUACCAGCCCCGCGGAAGGAGAAGGGAUGCUACAGGUCUGUGGAGCACUCGCACGGAGAGACUGAAAGUACCCAUAAAAUCGACUCUUGCUAACCGGGAAAUUAUUUUAUGCGUUUUGUAUUCAAAGACAUAUUAAAAUACCUG